GUCCGGAUGUGUAAAAUACAUCCGUUAGCAAGGGCCGGGCAAGACCGGUGCCAGCCGCCGCGGUAACACCGGCGGCCCGAGUGGUGAUCGUGAUUAUUGGGUCUAAAGGGUCCGUAGCCGGUUUGGUCAGUCCUCCGGGAAAUCUGAUAGCUCAACUAUUAGGCUUUCGGGGGAUACUGCCAGACUUGGAACCGGGAGAGGUAAGAGGUACUACAGGGGUAGGAGUGAAAUCUUGUAAUCCCUGUGGGACCACCUGUGGCGAAGGCGUCUUACCAGAACGGGUUCGACGGUGAGGGACGAAAGCUGGGGGCACGAACCGGAUUAGAUACCCGGGUAGUCCCAGCCGUAAACGAUGCUCGCUAGGUGUCAGGCAUGGCGCGACCGUGUCUGGUGCCGCAGGGAAGCCGUGAAGC
rnacentral:rRNA from 1 species